UUCUUAGAGCCAGCAGCCGCGGUAAUUCCAGCUCCAAUAGCGUAUAUUAAACUUGUUGCAGUUAAAAAGCUCGUAGUUGAAUUUCUGCUGUUUCGUUGACUGCGUUUGGCGUUUGUCAUCGUUGCGGCUUGGUUGGGUUUCGAUUAUUCGUUUCCCGGCGUUUACUUUGAGAAAAUUACCAGUGCUUGAAGCAGGCUUUUGCCUUGAAUACUUUAGCGUGGAAUGGCGCAACAAGACUUUGGUUCAAUUUUGUUG
rnacentral:rRNA from 1 species